rnacentral:rRNA from 1 species
AGAGUUUGAUNNUGGCUCAGAUUGAACGCUGGCGGCAGGCCUAACACAUGCAAGUCGAGCGGCAGCACAAGGGAGUUUACUUCUGAGGUGGCGAGCGGCGGACGGGUGAGUAAUGCCUAGGGAUCUGCCCAGUCGAGGGGGAUAACAGUUGGAAACGACUGCUAAUACCGCAUACGCCCUACGGGGGAAAGGAGGGGACCUUCGGGCCUUCCGCGAUUGGAUGAACCUAGGUGGGAUUAGCUAGUUGGUGAGGUAAUGGCUCACCAAGGCGACGAUCCCUAGCUGUUCUGAGAGGAUGAUCAGCCACACUGGGACUGAGACACGGCCCAGACUCCUACGGGAGGCAGCAGUGGGGAAUAUUGCACAAUGGGGGAAACCCUGAUGCAGCCAUGCCGCGUGUGUGAAGAAGGCCUUCGGGUUGUAAAGCACUUUCAGUAGGGAGGAAAGGGUGUAGCUUAAUACGCUAUAUCUGUGACGUUACCUACAGAAGAAGGACCGGCUAACUCCGUGCCAGCAGCCGCGGUAAUAC